AUGCAAUGAUGAGUGAAGUAUAGUCUGACCUGGUACUGCCAUUGAUUCGGUGUGGGCUUUGACCAGGGUAUGAUCAUUAAUCUUCUCUCUGAGCUG
rnacentral:snoRNA from 1 species